CCUACGGGGGGCAGCAGUGGGGAAUAUUGGACAAUGGGGGCAACCCUGAUCCAGCCAUGCCGCGUGUGUGAAGAAGGCCCUCGGGUUGUAAAGCACUUUCAGUGAGGAAGAACGCCUGGUGGGGAAUACCCAUCAGGAAAGACAUCACUCACAGAAGAAGCACCGGCUAACUCCGUGCCAGCAGCCGCGGUAAUACGGAGGGUGCGAGCGUUAAUCGGAAUUACUGGGCGUAAAGCGCGCGUAGGUGGCUUGAUAAGCCGGUUGUGAAAGCCCCGGGCUCAACCUGGGAACGGCAUCCGGAACUGUCAAGCUAGAGUGCAGGAGAGGAAGGUAGAAUUCCCGGUGUAGCGGUGAAAUGCGUAGAGAUCGGGAGGAAUACCAGUGGCGAAGGCGGCCUUCUGGACUGACACUGACACUGAGGUGCGAAAGCGUGGGUAGCAAACAGGAUUAGAUACCCCUGUAGUC
rnacentral:rRNA from 1 species